rnacentral:rRNA from 1 species
AGCGAACGCUGGCGGCAGGCCUAACACAUGCAAGUCGAACGAACUCUUCGGAGUUAGUGUCGGACGGGUGAGUAACCCGUGGGAACGUUCCUUUUUGGUCGGCAUAACUCAGGGAAACUUGUGCUAAUACCGAAUGUGCGCUUCUGGGGAAAGAUUUAUCGCCCUUAGAGCUUCCCGCGUGUGAUUAGCUAUUUGUUUAGGUAACGGCUCCCCAAGGCGACGAUCAGUAGAUUGUCUGAGAGGAAGACCAGCAACACUGGGACUGAGAAACGGCCCAGAAUCCUACGGGAGGCAGGAGUGGCGGAUCUUGCGACAUGGGCGAAGGGAUGAAGCAGCCAUGCUGCGUGAAUGAUGAAGGUAUUAGGAUUGUAAAAUUCUUGCAACGGGGCAGAUAAUGACGGUACCCGGACAAGAAGCCACGGCUAACUUCGUG